GGGAUAGGAGGGGCGGCCCCCCCCAGAUGGGUCUGCAUGUGGCCGGCCAGCUGGGCAGGGGUCUUGCAGUGCACGCUGCACAGCUUGCACAGGAUGCGGUCAGCCCGCGGGGCCUGGAGCCCAUGGUCCUUCACCGCGUGGAUGCGCAGGAGCUGGAGACAAGAACUUGUGGCUGUGAAGCUGAAGCCCUGGGAGCUGGCUUGAGUCCUCCUUUCACAAAGCAGCCAUGUCCCAUUCAUGCCCCCAGGCACACCCAGGAGGUGGACUCUCGGUAAACCGUCUCCUCUGAGCCAUGGCAUAGAAUUUAGUGUUCAGUUACUUCCAAUGCUGUUGUGCUUGUUUCUUAAAGGGCUCUCUCUACAUGCCACGAGCUCUUGGCUACAGCAUCCUUAACCCGCAUCCGUGAAAAGAACCAACAGUGUUGUGCCCACCCACUCCCACUUUGUCCCUGCCCUCUUGGCAUCCCUUAGCAUGUACCUUUGUUGCAGAGCUCACAGACAUGGUGAGGGCCCUGGCUGUGCACCUUCAUGUGGUCCGAAAUAUAAGCCGAGCUCAGCAUCUUGCCACACACAUGA